UCCUGCUAUGAGUGAUAAGUUUAAAUGUAAAACUUGGGUAAAACGUAGUGAUUCAAUGCUCUUUUCUUUGGCAGUUUUAACACUAAUUUCAUUUGCAGAUAAGUAUAUACCUAGUGUACCUGCGCGUAAAGAAGGAUAAUAUGCAACAGUUAUCUACUGACAUUAUUUUUUAAAUUAUCAGUCGACAGUCUACUUACAGAACACGAAGAUGACGGCAGUAUGUUCUGGUUAUAGAAGAGAGGGGCCUUCCGCCUUAAAGAUCUUUUACUCAAUAACUGCCACAGGUGUAUCGGACACUACCGCCUUACAAUACAACAUGGAUAAUUUGGUAAUGCUGAAAUUUAAAGCCAGUGCCAAAUUGGUAGAGGAUAAAAUAAAGUUUUUUGUCAGUUUCUCAUCAUCAAAACAUGAGUCUGCUAAGGAAAAAACAUCACAAUAAAUGUAAACAGUAUAGACUUGAAAUAUUCUGCCUUGAAUAUUAAUGUGCCCAAUGAUUGGUCGACAUGGCUAGAAAUGGGACACAUUGAUCCAUCUGUAGGGAACUAUGAAAUAUAUUACAAGUCAGUAGCCAUUGUUGUCACUACACAUGAGUGUAAAACGGCAACAGUACUUUCAAAAUUGUACACUGACAGUGACUUCACAGAUUUCUCUCUAGUGUCAUCUGAAGGAUCUGUACCUGUUCACAAGGCUUGCCUGGCUGCACACAGUGACGUGUUUAAAGCAAUGUUGACCAAUGAGUGGAAGGAAAAAAUCACUGGUGAAAUAUCAUUGAAGGGAGUUACUAUUGAGACUCUUCAACUGUUAAAGGAAUACAUGUAUUUAGGCACGGUGGCUGAUGGUGAUGGUGGACUCCGGCCUUUACUUUUGAUUGCCAGGUGCUACCUUAUGGAAGAUUUAGAAAAACAAUGCAUCAGAAAGCUAGCCGAAAAUGCUACAGGAGAGACCUUGUUCUCUCUUCUUGAAUUUGCAUGUGACAACAACAUUCCGGAACUCUCAUAUGCUCUAUUGAUUAUAACACAAGAACAUGUUGUCAAUAAGGCUUUUGUAAUACAAAAAAAAAGUUGCAAUUAAUAGUAAAUAAAAGUAAACAAUCACAAUAGUAGGUAAGUUUUUCAGCAAUUAAGCAACUGCUGCUUCUAGGCAAGUUGGACCCAGUUUGAUUCAUUUUCAAUUAAUUUUACUAAUUUUUAACUUUGAAAAUGUUCUCAAUUAUGUAUGUGUUUAUGUUAAGUUGAGGUGCAAACUCAAAUUAAUGUCAUGAUUAGUGGUUGGUGUAAUGUUACCUAUACUAUUUUUGUUUAUGAAUAGAUGUUGCUUUAUUUACACGUUUGGUGCCGGCGACACAACAUUUGUGGUCAAAAAUAAUGUAACUCCUAUGCCAGUAUGUGUGUUCAAACAAAUAUACCGGCCUAUGCCAGUGACACAGCAGUAGUGUACACAACAACAUAACAUUCCUAUUUUUAUACAGCUAGCAUAGAAGUAAGAAGUUGACUUACGCCUGCGGCAUAGGAAUUAGGAAUGAGAACUUAGUAAUUUCUGUAGGCAUUUAGUAAAACAGUGUCAGGAACAAAAGCGUUAAGUUUUAGAUGAACAACCCCACUAAGGCCCACUUGCACCAAUCGCUUAACUCAGGGUUAGUGGGCUGUCAUCUGUCAAAUUUCAUACAAAAUGGUGGGUUAACCCUUCCAUUUUCGUUGGUGCAAGUGGCCCUAAUAGUUCCAAAGAUAUAGAUUUCCCCUAAGUAAUUGGAUAAGAAAUGAUUCUGCAUUUACUAUAAGCAUUGAGCCUUGUUUUGUUCUUAAAGAAUAACUGUAAGGUACAGCGGGGCAAAUCUCGACGGGGGGGCAAUUGUAACUGAUCCAUUUUUUCCAUUAUUAUACUAUGAUGUUGAGUUCUACAUGUAUCCACUGAACAGGCCUACCAUAUAUAACCGGUGGACACUCUAUUUAAUAAUGCAAAAAUUGUAAAACAUGGAAAAAAUGGACCAGUUACAUUUGUCCCCCGGUCGAGUUUUGCCCCGCUGUACCUUAACUAAUUUACCUUGGACAUGUACCUUACUAACUUAAUGACAUGAUUGUAAAAUAUUCAAAUAUAUUCCAAUUAAGACUGCUUUGCUGAUUCAGAGAUAGCUCAUAACUUCCAAGAUUGUAAGAUUACUUACCAAAGACUUUAUAAACUAAUCAGUUCAGUAACUUUUUUUUAUGAAUAAGGGGCUUAAAAUUAUUUAUAUAUUAUAAAUGUAAGAUACUGCAGCUAGGACUCACGUUUUGAUAUUUGUCGCCAACACUUUUUUCAAUAAAUUAUAAUAUGCUCACGAAAGCAUAAAUAUAGUCUAGUUCCAAAAUUUAUAAAAUCACUCUACUUCUUGAUGCAACUGGCAAAUCAUAUUUUUAGCAACCGGGUAAAAUUAGAUAAUUUUAUCCUUGUUAAGUAGUAAUUGAACACUGAACAGCAGUUCGGUAACAGGUGUCAAGCCUGAAAAAAGAGAUACUGAAGUUCUAAAACCACAUCUGUUUCGGCGGAAAAAUGAAACUUUUAUUUUUGUACAUGUACCGAGGUUAUACUUUAAUAAGGAAUAAAAAAUAAAACAAUUUAAACUAGUUUAAAUUUAAAUUUUAUUUUAAAUAUAUAACAUGAUAGCAAUCACUAUGCAAUUAAAUAUUUACUUCUAUGUGAUUGAAUGAUAUAAUAUUUGCACGUGUCUUCGCCCGUCGUCGCUCUCGUUUAAAUUUUCGUUAGAACAAUCUCAGUCUUUUUCACUAAAUUAGAUUUCGUCGUGAAAUAAAAACGUUGUUUUUUUCAAAUAUCAAAAAAAUCACAUGGCAACACUGUUGAAAUGUCGAAACGGUGUUGCUAUGUUCACAAAGUUUGUGCUCGUAUUUGAUUUUAUU
rnacentral:lncRNA from 1 species